AGAAUCAACGCUGGCGGCGUGCCUCAGACAUGCAAGUCGAACGCGAAAGUCCCCUUCGGGGGAUAAGUAGAGUGGCGCACGGGUGAGUAACACGUAGGUAAUCUACCUUCGGGUGGGGAAUAACCCAGGGAAACUUGGGCUAACACCGCAUAAUGCAGCGGCACCACAUGGUGACAGUUGUUAAAGCGGGGAUUUUAGGACCUCGCGCCUGAAGAGGAGCCUGCGGCAGAUUAGCUAGUUGGUAAGGUAACGGCUUACCAAGGCGACGAUCU
rnacentral:rRNA from 1 species